rnacentral:rRNA from 1 species
UUAAACGGCCGCGGUACCCUAACCGUGCAAAGGUAGCAUAAUCAUUUGCCCACUAAUUACGGGCUGGUAUGAAAGGCUACAUGAGAGUCAAACUGUCUCUUAUAACCCAUCAGUGAAACUGAUCUUACAGUCCAAAAGCUGUAAUAAAUCUAUAAGACGAGAAGACCCUGUGAAAUUUCAAUUACCCCUCCUUCUCUCCAGGAGGGUACUUUUAGUUGGGGCGACUUUGGAACAAACACAACUUCCAAACACGAAGUGCACUGCCACUUUAACCAUAAGGCCAACACGCCUAAUCAUACGACCCAGUAAAUCUGAUAAAUGGACCAAACUACUCCAGGGAUAACAGCGCUAUCUUCUUCAAGAGCCCAUAUCAAAAAGAAGGUUUACGACCUCGAUGUUGGAUCAGGGCACCCAAGCGGCGCAGCCACUGCUAAAGGUUCGUUUGUUCAACGAUUAACAGC